rnacentral:rRNA from 1 species
CCUACGGGAGGCAGCAGUGAGGAAUAUUGGUCAAUGGGCGCAAGCCUGAACCAGCCAUGCCGCGUGCAGGAAGAAUGCCCUACGGGUUGUAAACUGCUUUUAUUUGGGAAUAAACCUUUCUACGUGUAGAAAGCUGAAGGUACCAAUUGAAUAAGCACCGGCUAACUCCGUGCCAGCAGCCGCGGUAAUACGGAGGGUGCAAGCGUUAUCCGGAAUCAUUGGGUUUAAAGGGUCCGCAGGCGGACCUAUAAGUCAGUGGUGAAAGCCUACAGCUUAACUGUAGAACUGCCAUUGAAACUGUAGGUCUUGAAUUCGGUCGAAGUGGGCGGAAUGCGUAGUGUAGCGGUGAAAUGCAUAGAUAUUACACAGAACACCGAUAGCGAAGGCAGCUCACUAGGCCUGGAUUGACGCUCAGGGACGAAAGCGUGGGGAUCAAACAGGAUUAGAUACCCUGGUAGUCCACGCCGUAAACUAUGAUUACUCGUUUUCGGCGAUAUACAGUCGGAGACUAAGCGAAAGUGAUAAGUAAUCCACCUGGGGAGUACGAUCGCAAGGUUGAAACUUAAAGGAAUUGACGG